GACGAACGCUGGCGGCGUGCCUAAUACAUGCAAGUCGAGCGAGCGGAACCAGCAGAUCUGCUUCGGCAGUGACGCUGGGAAAGCGAGCGGCGGAUGGGUGAGUAACACGUGGGGAACCUGCCCCAAAGUCUGGGAUACCACUUGGAAACAGGUGCUAAUACCGGAUAAGAAAGCAGAUCGCAUGAUCAGCUUUUAAAAGGCGGCGUAAGCUGUCGCUAUGGGAUGGCCCCGCGGUGCAUUAGCUAGUUGGUAGAGUAACGGCCUACCAAGGCAAUGAUGCAUAGCCGAGUUGAGAGACUGAUCGGCCACAUUGGGACUGAGACACGGCCCAAACUCCUACGGGAGGCAGCAGUAGGGAAUCUUCCACAAUGGACGCAAGUCUGAUGGAGCAAACGCCGCGUGAGUGAAAGAAGGUUUUUCGGAUCGUAAAAGCUCUGUUGGUGG
rnacentral:rRNA from 1 species